UGUUUUGUUCACACAUUUAAAAAAAAAACCAGCAACAUCAGACACACAGGCAGCAGUGUGAACACUAGCGCCGCCUCAGCACAUCACCUGACUGAAGCACGUCGGACACUUCAGCUGAAACACACAGGAAGUUGAAACGACUUGCGUUUUUCUGCAACUUGUCACGCAAAACGAAGCUUUUCUGGCAGUUUUUUCUUACUUUCCUAUGGGCUACAGUCAUAUCUGAAUGCCAGCUGGUAAGAGCAGGGCGAUGAAGAGGGGGGAGGGUUGAAAGGUUAGCCCACUGUGCAUGAGGGGGAAUGGAGCUCAGUGCUACUUUCUCAUUCGUGCCGUGGCCACAGAAGGAGACGUUCUAUUGCACAAUGAUCGAGUUUUGAAUGUCAGAUGUGUUUUAUGUGUUUCAAGACACGGAUGCAAGACUACAAAUAUUGCCAAACGGCGGUGAGUUCAAUGUUCUUCUACCUGGAUGGGAGUGAAGUGCCUCAGGUGCGUUUAAAGAGACGGCGUCAAAACAAGUUGCUGUCAGACACACCUCAGAACAGGCAUAGAGGAGGGGCCUGUGGAGCUGCAACUGUCACAGCUGCUGCUGAGCUGUAACCACUCACACCUGAUCGUCAUCACCCGGAUCCCCAGCUGCUGCCAUAUAAGGAUGGAUCUUCCCCCUGCACGGCGUCAGAUUGUUGUGAAACCCUCAGCGGUAACACUUUCAGGCCUGCUGUAGUAACUUGAGCUAACUGCCCAGUAACUAACCUGUCUGUCUCUUCCUUCUGCCUAGUUGCCUCUCCUGUCCCUGAUCCUGACCCCCACCUCUGGUUUUGGACCUCCUGCCUUCGACCCCCUGUCUGUCUGACCCUGAGAUCUGGAACCUGUUUUGACCUGGAUUUGGACCCGCUGGCUCUGACCCCCCUGUCUGUCUGACCCCGAGAUCUGGAAUUGCCUGACCCUGAUUUGGAUUCCCUGGUUCUGACCCCGGCCUGUCUGACCAAGAAAUAGUUUAUCUCCUAAAUAAACACCUGUUUUUGUA